UGGGGGAUAUUGCACAAUGGGCGAAAGCCUGAUGCAGCGACGCCGCGUGGGGGAUGAAGGCCUUCGGGUUGUAAACUUCUUUUGCUCUGAACAAGGCAUGCUAAUGGGUGUGUUGAGUGUAGGGGUUGAUUAGCGCCGGCUAACUACGUGCCAGCAGCCGCGGUAAUACGUAGGGCGCGAGCGUUGUCCGGAAUUAUUGGGCGUAAAGGGCUUGUAGGUGGCUGGUUGCGUCUGUCGUGAAAGCUCAUGGCUUAACUGUGGGUUUGCGGUGGGUACGGGCUGGCUUGAGUGCAGUAGGGGAGGCUGGAAUUCCUGGUGUAGCGGUGAAAUGCGUAGAGAUCUGGAGGAAUACCGAUGGCGAAGGCAGCCAUCUGGCCUAAUACUGACGCUGAGGUACGAAAGCAUGGGGAGCAAACAGG
rnacentral:rRNA from 1 species